rnacentral:rRNA from 1 species
UCUACGGGGGGCAGCAGUGGGGAAUAUUGCACAAUGGGGGGAACCCUGAUGCAGCGACGCCGCGUGAGUGAAGAAGUAUUUCGGUACGUAAAGCUCUAUCAGCAGGGAAGAAAAAAGGACGGUACCUGAGUAAGAAGCCCCGGCUAACUACGUGCCAGCAGCCGCGGUAAUACGUAGGGGGCAAGCGUUAUCCGGAAUUAGGGGGUGUAAAGUGAGCGUAGACGGCAAUGCAAGUCCGGGGUGUAAUGCGGCAGCGAAACUGCCGAACUGCUCUGGAAACUGUAUGGCUUGAGUGCAGGAGGGGUAGGGGGAAUUCCGGGUGUGGCGGUGAAAUGCGUAGAUAUCAGGAGGAACACCGGUGGCGAGGGCGGCUUACUGGACUGUAACUGACGUUGAGGCUCGAAAGCGUGGGGAGCAAACAGGAUUAGAUACCCCUGUAGU